rnacentral:rRNA from 1 species
AAACAACGUUUCAGUGUUAUAGAAUGUUCUUUUGUUGUGUAUAACACAAAUGUACAACUUUCAGCAACGGAUCUCUUGGCUCUCGCAUCGAUGAAGAACGCAGCGAAAUGCGAUAAGUAAUGUGAAUUGCAGAAUUCAGUGAAUCAUCGAAUCUUUGAACGCACCUUGCGCUCCUUGGUAUUCCGAGGAGCAUGCCUGUUUGAGCAUCAUGAAAUUCUCAAACCCAUAGGUUUUCUUACUGAUGCCUAGUGGGCUUUGGACUUGGAGGUUGUGUUGGCUCUUACUUAAGUCGACUCCUCUCAAAUUGAUUAGCGUGAAUGUUUUAUGGAUCGCCUUCAGUGUGAUAAUUAUCUGCGCUGUGGUGUUGAAGUUACUUGAUACAUUUCAUGCUUAUAACUGUCUCUUGUGAGACAACAACAUUCGACCAUUUUGAUCUCAAAUCAGGUAGGACUACCCGCUGAACUUAAGCAUAUCAAUAAGCGGAGGA